AUUAAACGCUGGCGGCAUGCCUUACACAUGCAAGUCGAACGGCAGCACGGGGGCAACCCUGGUGGCGAGUGGCGGACGGGUGAGUAAUACAUCGGAACGUGCCCUGGAGUGGGGGAUAACGCAGCGAAAGCUACGCUAAUACCGCAUAUUCUGUGAGCAGGAAAGCAGGGGAUCGCAAGACCUUGCGCUUUGGGAGCAGCCGAUGUCGGAUUAGCUAGUUGGUGGGGUAAAGGCCUACCAAGGCGACGAUCCGUAGCGGGUCUGAGAGGAUGAUCCGCCACACUGGGACUGAGACACGGCCCAGACUCCUACGGGAGGCAGCAGUGGGGAAUUUUGGACAAUGGGCGGAAGCCUGAUCCAGCCAUGCCGCGUGAGUGAAGAAGGCCUUCGGGUUGUAAAG
rnacentral:rRNA from 1 species